GGCACACACCUUCGCUGUUUUCAUGCUUGUGUACCUCCGUCAGCUUCUGUAGUUUGGGUUUUUAUCUGUGUGGUGAUACUGGUAGAAGCUGGAGUAACCUUUUAGGAAAAAGAGAAUAUAGCCUUAUUUAUUUAUUUAUCUAUCUAUCUAUCUAUCUAUCUAUUUAUUUAUUUAUUUAAAGGACAUUUUCCUAAUUUAUUUGAUGGAGGCAGGUGUAUUGCCAGUAGUUACAGGCGUGCAACAUCACGGAAGGGAAUCUCAACAUUCUGACUAAACCUCAAGUCUGCACUAAGACAGAGGGAAGGGUUUAUGCUUCACAUAUACCAGCUGGGCAAUGGUGGGCUGGGAAGCAAACGUCGGUAGGUAAAAUGAUUUGCCCACCCAAUAUGACACGUUUGAUAGAAAAGGUGGAAUUGUAACUCUUGGCUUUUUAGCGUCAUUUAAGAAACAGGUAUGGUACAUAAUGAGAAGGUACUGUGGUCAAACUUGCUGUAGGAGGCUGGCUGUGCUUUUGCAAAGGCUAAUAUCUAUUGCCUCUUUUCUGGGGUUGUGCCUUGGGGUCGUACGUUCAUGGCAAUAACUGCACUGGCAGAAAAUGCAUCCUGCUUUAUCCCCAUUUCUCUCUGGUGAUGGUACCUCACUAAAAACUUGCAGCAAUAAAACCAGCGAAGUUUAUAGUCGCGUGUGUGGAAGUUGUUAAUUUCCCACCAAGUCAAAUAGUUAAUUUACCUUAACUUAAUGGAGAAAAUAUGACUUUCUGGAGAAGGAAAAUGUAAAUAUAUGGUUUUACAAUUCCAAUUUUUAGUCACAUUACCAGAUUAAUAGUGCUAUAUAGUACUUUCCUAAAGGCAUAAAAAUUAUUGAGGAAUAUAGUAUUCUGCUUCAAGGUCAGCAGAGUGAAGGCAUUUGAUCCUUUGCUUGGAUCUGCAUUAUGUGUUUUUGAGGCCUUAGGACUCUGUGUAAGACAAGGCAUCUAUUGAAGCAUUUUGCCUAAAAUAUCUGUAAAAUUUGUACUUUUAAGAAGGGGGUAGGUACGUAGUAUUAACAAAUGGAUUGGCCUAGUCUCGUAGUAUCCUAACUGUCUGGACUAGCUACUUCUUUAAAAUGUCCAGAAAAGAUUUACUCUUCUUAAGUCCUGGUUUCAGAUAUGCUAGUGCUAAAUAGACAUAUCCACUCCCAGGUUUUGUCAUCUAGAUGUGUGUGCAGGUGAAAUUUAACAUUCAAAACUAUUAAAAAAAAAGAGUGAAGGCAAAAAAUCUCCCGAGGAUACUUCCUCCACCCACACCCCCCAUUUUUAACUAAUUCUAACUUACAUGUAAUUUGAAUUGUUGUUUAGGUACUUAUGACUUUACCUUAUUUUUUUACUGCUGGGUAUUUGAAUUCUGACCAAUAUUUAGUGACAGAAAUAACAGAUUGACAGAGAAACUGAGGCAGGAACAAAUGAAAGGGGAAUAUUAGCCUAAGCCUAUAUAUGAACUAGAUUGAUUAAAAGAGCAUUUGAAGCAUCAUGCAUCAACAUGCUAAUGUGGCAGUUGUGAGAGCAUGCAUUAUUGCAUGGCUGCUGGCAGACGAGAGCUAGUAUUUUGACUAAUGAUGCUGCAUGGAAAUACUGGUCCCUUUUGCAUGCAGACUGCAUCUUGCUUAGGCCAUCAGGUCUCCCAAACCUCGAGCAGUUGGACCUUUCGAUUUCUAUCGAUGCACAGCGCGGGAGGAACAGCACAAAUGCCACCGUGGUCAGCUUCAGAAAUGCUGUCGUGUUAACGCCAUCUCUGGUUUUGCUUUGGAAGAAGCUGUGGUUGGCUUGGACCUGUGGCUAAUGCCAUAUAGUUCCCCCCGAAUUGGCCGAUUGCUCCCUUUUACACGCUGCUUGUUAGCUGGGUACCUCACGCUCUGCUCAGAGAGGAUGCCGGUGGCUCCAAGCGAUGGGCAGAGGAGCUGCAGCAUCAUCAGGCAGGUUAACGCAAGGCAGGGAGCCAAGCCAGAAUUAAGGGUGGGGGGAGAGAAAUGGCAGAGAGAGGGAAGAUAAAGGGAGGCAGUAAGGGAGGGGUUGGGGACUCUGGAAAAUAGACAGAGAGGGCAGAGGAGCUGAUGGAGAGGUAUAAGAGAACUAGUAGGCAGAAGAAGAUUCUUCAGGUCUUCAAAAUCCAUAGACAUGUAAGAUGCGCUACAAGGCUUCAAGGAUUUCGCUGUGCUGCUGUGAGCCACGUGUCUUCCCAAGGCUUAUGGGACUGACCGGCUGGGUAGCUUUUAAUAUUCUUUGCCAUUUGAUAUAGAUUUGCUUCUGCAAAAUCAAGUCAGCAAUUGAGUCAGGCAAUUUUAAAGAAGUUUAUAAGUUUUCCAAAAGUCUUUAAUUCUCUGCAGGUCAUUCACCUUAGGGUUUGAUGUGCACAGUGAACUUCAGAUUUAUAUUACUUGAUAGUAAGAACUGUUUUUUGUGGCAUUCUACAGCUUUACAUUAUUUUCUACCAGUAGCUUAAACUUUUGACAUUUGAAUAAUUCCUCUGGCUGAGAUCUCCAAAAUAAUUUGUAUCCCUGAAAUGUUCUUGCGUUCGAAAAAACAUUUUGGUAGUAAUACUGCCCAGUCAAAUUUUAAACCUCUCUAUCAAGUUUUCUGUAUGCAGUUAAGAGUUUAAAAAUAGACUUGUCCCAAUGCAUGCCAAAAAUCUGGAGGCAGUCAAACUAAUAGAAAUAUGUAGACUUUCAUAAUGCAUUUACUGCAGGGAGAAAAAUAUGCCUAGGCUUUUGCUUUCAAAAAGCCUUUGUCUGUCUUCUUAAAAAAAAAGGAAAGGAAAGGUUGCCUACAGUUAUAUAGUGAUUCUCUUUAUAGACAUCGAAAUAUGUUAGCAUCCACUGGAUUCUGCUAAAGUGUUUCCUUACUUUCCUUAGAAGAGCGCGGGCCAAGCAAAGUCGAUGUGAGCUGCGAGAUACUCCACAUUUUUAAAAGCUGCCUAUGCUUAUUCAGUUAUAUAGAUGGAGAGUUUGGAGCCAGAAUGUUAGCAUUUUUUUUUUUAAAAAAAAAAAAAGGUAAAAAGCUCUAGACUUCAAAGGGUUGAUCCAAUGAAGUUUGAAAAUUCUGCAAAUUGAAUCUACGCUUGUGAAAUUGGGGCAUCGUAUAAGGAAAGGUCGAACAUAUGAUUUCAGCACAGCACUGGGGCCAGCCUUUGCGUGGCAGCGGCUGUAUGCACCUGUAUUGCCCAGGGAGCUGGGGAGAGGUUAGACUUUGAAACCUGCUGUUUUAAUCUCUUGCUGUGUAAAUUUGUGCCCUGUGGUGUUUCCUGCUAGGAUACCUCCAUGCUUGGGCCGUUGUAUAAAGCAACAAUUCUUCAGCUGAUGAUUUCUCCUUUUCUUCUGCAUCAUGGAGCCACACUGAGAAAGCAGUGAUUAAGCAACAGAGAUGGAGCCAGGGGAGCUUGUGGCUGCUGGCAGCCCUGCUGCUGCCCUUUAGCAUCUGAGCAUGGGCUCCAGUAUGGGAGCUGAUGUGGUUCCCAGCAGCAUUCAGCUGCCUCUUUUCUUAUUUUCUGAACUGCCUAGGUGGAAACUCCAAGCCAUGACUUUGCCAGGUGAGCUCCAUCUCUGCCCACCCACCCCUUUCUGGCACCAGCACCAUUGCAGACUGCUUCUUGGUGGUGGUACCUUCCUACUCCCUAUGCAUUUCUCCCAGAAGGUGGGAUAAAUGCACCCAUUUAGACAUAGCUGCAGGGGUUGUUGACCUCUAACAACCCUACUGUCAAUCUGUUCUUUGUAAUUGUUGACGUUUUAAUGUUCAAAAUAAGACUUUUAGAACUGGAGCUGUUUUGGUAAAAAUAGAAUUAGUACUUAACUGAAAUAACCACCACAUUUUUUUGGCCUAAACUGCUUGUUUUCACGAGCCUUUCUCAGAUCAUUGUUGCUUGAAUGCUACUCAGACAGGUGAAUAAGGGCUAAAUUGUGGGAGUACAUGCAGCAAAGUUAGAUUAUUAAUUGUUUGUGAAAUGCUACAUGAAUGCUAAAAGACAGUCUGAAUAAUUUUGUUUGUUUGUUUAUUUUGGCUUUCUUGUUGUUAUUCUUCAAGAAAGACAGCAAGAAUUUGGAACAUAUUUAGGAAGUAAGAGCCAGAUUUUCAGACAUAAAACAGGAAAGUCUUAGGUGUCUCAAUUCACAAAAGUCUUAACAAGUUGCCUAGACACUUAAACCACAGGGUUUCUGUCUCUCAUGUUCGUAAAAGCUCACUUAGCUCCCCGAAUUAUCUGGUUGCCUUUCAGGAGUGAUUAGUUUUCACCAGUCCAGGUGAUCAUGUCUCCACAGAGCCUGAUGGGCCACAUUUUGGAUAGCUGGGCUUGAAUCUGAAUACGUUGUCUUAGCCUGGUGGACGGACUUACACUGUGCCUGCACCAACCCACUUGUCUCUCCACACCAGUACCUCUUUCUCUGUUUCUGGCCAACAUCUUGCAUUUUCAGCAUUACAGUUUCUUUUGCAAAAGGAUCUUGUACAUGCAGCCUCUCUUUCUUCUUCGAACUCCGGUGUAAUACAAGGCCUGGGAAGCAAUAGUUUCAUGGAGCAGAGAUGACAAGGACUGGCCAGUUUUAGGUGAAAACUAAGGCAAUGGUCACAGUCUUUCCAAGUGUUGGUUGAUCACUUUGUUGUCUGACAGCCGAUGGGAAGAAGUUGCUCCAGCAAUGGGCAGAAGAACUUCUCCACAAGUGAAGCGGUUACCACCUAGUGCAAAGGAAAGACCCCACAACUCAUCAGAUCCAAACACAGACCACCUUAUGGGUGUGAGUUAUCUGGAAUAUAAACCCUGAGAUUUUUUUUAAGGGCUAAUCACAACUGUGCCACGUCUAACAGUGAAGGCUGUAGCAGCAGACCAAGAGGAACGGCCCGUUUGUGCCUGGGCUUAAGUGGACAUCUAUCACCCAACAUUUACCAUCAGAUACCUGCCCAGGAAGAUUCCAAGCAGUGGUUAUUUCUGGAUUCCCUUUUGCAGAAGACAAAAUAAUUUCCUGGACAAUUCCCAUUGCUACUUGUUUCUCCAUAGGUUUCCCUCCCACAACAGGAAGAUGCUGAACAUGGUCUCCAAAAGCCCUCAGAUCUACUUUUCCUUCUACCACAAAUGGACUCCAAAUGAUGCUACUCUUCAGCAAACCCUCUCUCCUCAGAUCUUGGUCAACCAUAGCCCCAGAGGCAGAGUGCGCCGCUUUCCUGGCCAAGGCAUGACGUGCCAUCUUAGCGUUGCAACCCCUGAUGUUUUCUCCAGGACACUUGUCUUGUGGCUGAUGUGCAGUCUGCACAUCCCAACACAGCAAACAGCACAAAGACCAGGUCAAAUAAGUCUGUUGCCAAGCUGCAUUCUGGCACCACCACAGGAAAGUGGAGCUGGUCCUGGGAGCCAAGAGGAGCACAGCUCAGGUGGGUCGUGGUGCCAUAGACGGGAUGACAUCUCACAGUUUGGCACUGGAACGGCGUGCCUCUUGGGGCCUCCUUCACCGCUGGUGCUGCUGUCACCACAGCUGUUGCUGGGACGAUGGCAGAUUCAAGGAUGGAGAAGCCCACCUCAACAGGGGCUCAUUCCACCACGUCCAGGCAGUCUGGAGGAACGACUGUGGAUCAAGAGAGUGUUAGUGCAGGAGAAAUGGGCUUGGACACAGCAAGAAAUGGCCAGCAGCAGGACAAGGCUUAUGUCACAAAGGUAUACAGAUCUGCCUGUCACGAGUGAUGAAGUGCCAUCUCCUCCUCACACUUGUUUAGUGCUCCAACUUCAUUCUCAGGAGGUUGGCAGGUGGCUGUAACACUUGUUUCUGACUUUGUUCCCUCCUCUAUUUCAGUAAUAAAGUCUCUAAUGUAAUAGUU